rnacentral:rRNA from 1 species
GACAGAGGAUGCAAGCGUUAUCCGGAAUGAUUGGGCGUAAAGCGUCUGUAGGUGGCUUUUUAAGUCCGCCGUCAAAUCCCAGGGCUCAACCCUGGACAGGCGGUGGAAACUACCAAGCUGGAGUACGGUAGGGCAGAGGGAAUUUCCGGUGGAGCGGUGAAAUGCGUAGAGAUCGGGAGGAACACCCGUGGCGAAGGCGGCCAUCUGGACCAGCACUGACGCUGAGGCACGAAAGCGUGGGGAGCAACAG